CCGGGAUUUGUCUGUCUAAGACUAUCCAUGACCCUUUGUUUAUACAAAAAUGUUAUUUCUUUGGCAAGACGUUUGAUUUUUUUUGUCAUGAAAAGAAUCAACCACUGAUUUUUUAGGAAAUGAGUGUGUUUUUUGCUUGCCAAAGUUUUUUACUCUUUUAUAUAUUGAAGUCUGAUCAAAACAAACAAAUAAAUUA
rnacentral:misc_RNA from 1 species